UACGGUGACUUUGUGGGUUAUUUAGCUUAAAAAAAAGAGAGUAUGUUUGAGGUUUGGAAGAGAUUAAUGCUUGAUUUGUGGGAGAUAUUUGCUUUCUAACAUCCAUCUCAAUGCCUGUUGCCAAAUAGUUCUUGGUAGUUUCUUAGCAUCAUAUGUGCAAUUGAAGUUUAGUUUGCUUCCCAGUUCAGAAAUUUGUAAGAAUACAUGAAUUUGACAACUAGUUUUCUCCACUAGUUGUUUGAAACUUAAUUUUGAUGGAUGUUCCUAGGGAGUUUGACCUAGAUGAGCAUUGGCGGAUUUGUUUUGGGGUCAUAGUGAUAUGAUUCAGGCUUUCUUGAAGGGAGCUGAUUUUGGCCUAGUUGUUAAAAUGAAAACAUUUGCUUCACUUAAUGAUCUCAAGAUUGCAAGAGAGUUGAGUGUCAGAAAUUUGUUGGUAGAAGGGGGUUUAGCGGCAGUUUUGUCUUAAAUGGCAAAUAAUGGUACAGGGUCUUAGGAUAUGACCAAUGGAUAUGAAGAUUGUGUUAUUGAUAGGGUAUUGAGUCUCUCUUUCUCUUGAUAGUCUAGAUCGGGUAAUUAGGAAGUUGAUAGUCUGUCUAAGAGAAGCGCAUCUUCUUUAGUUGAUCUUAUUGGGGAUGUGAUGCCCCCUUGAGUUUUGAUGUUUGUUCCCUCACCCAAAGAACAUCAAAAAAAAAAAAAAAAAAAAAAAAAAAAAAAAAAGAAGAAGAGAAGGAUCCCUUGGUGGAGUCGAUACCUUUAGGAAAUCUAUGAAGAAAAAGAUUUAUAAGAGCUGGAAUAAUUUGAUCAACAAUUUGAUGAAAUUAACUUAUUUUUUUAAUGGACUAAAGAGGUUUAGAAAUGCUAUCAAGGUGGCGCUCUCUUGCUUGGCCAAGGAUAAGCUAGCUCCACGGGGGAAGCAAAGUUUUUAGUGAAAAGGGAUUCCUCUAUGAGUAAGGUUAAGAGGCUUCCUGACCUAUCAAAAAAAAAAAAAAAAAAGGUUAAGAGGCUUCCUGAAGGACUGGCAUCAAUUUCAAGAGAUUACCUUUUAAUGAACUACACUGGGUUUAGAAAUGCUAGCAAGGCAAUACUCUUCCUUGACCUUAGGUAAGCUGGCUCCAAGAGGCAAGCAAAGUUUUUAGUGAAGGGUGCUCCUGUAUGAAUGAGGUUAAGAGGCUUCUUAUAGGAUUAACAUCAAUUUUAAGAGGGCCUUGUGGGCAGAUAAUGAAGAGGACUACAUUUUUUCCUCAAAAGGGGAACCUUGAGUUAGCACUUUCUCUCCUUAGUUAGGGUUUUGUGUUUGCUUCUUGCUUUGGUUUAUCCUGAUUCUUGGUGUAUCCAUGUAUUUAUCUCAGUCAAGGAUUCAUUGCCUUCUUUGUACCCAUCUUUUUCUUUCUUGUCCUUCUAUUCAUUAAUAUUGUAGAUCAUCCAUAUGUUUAUAUAAUUAGAAUUGUGCUAGAGUCCCUCGUAUGGUUUGUUGAUAAUGCGCCUCUGUUUUGUGGGGUGAGUUGUGACCAACUUCUAUAUCUGAGGUGAAUUUUCUUUGUUUCAAGGCACUACUGGGUUUUAUAAAUAAUAUAGGGAAAAGUGAGGCGGUAGUGGAUAAUGUGGAAAAUGUAGAUGUGUAGGUGUCAUUGCUUGGUUGUUAGGUGGGUGUGUUGCCGACUACAUAUUUGGAGUUAUCAUUGGAGGCUUCUACAAGGCUAGUGUUGUUUCGGACCCUAUUGAGGAGCAGUUCAAUAGGUGGGUCACCUCAUGGAAAGACAAUACUUGCCAAAUGAGGGAACACUUGUGCUUGUCAAAAGCAUUCUGUCCAGAUUACAGGUAUACUUUAUAUCUUCUGUAUACUAGUGGUUUAAGCUUGAAAAGUUUAAUCUUAUCUUAGAGAGUCAUUGGAGUCGUCCUUUUAACAUUAGCACUAUUUUGGGACUUUGCUGAGUGGUUCAAUAAGACACUUGCCCAAUGGAAAGACAGUACCUAGGAAGUGGAGGGAUGUGUAUAUUUUUUAUCAAAAACACUUUCUUCAGACUAUGUAUAUACUUUAUUUCCUCUGUGAUGGUCCAUUCUAGUGACAAUAUUCCCAC
rnacentral:lncRNA from 1 species